rnacentral:lncRNA from 1 species
AUAAUAAGUACUAUUUUUUUAUUUUUUAUUUAUUUUUUUUUUUUUUGUGUUUUGGGGGGAUUUGUUACAAUUGUAAGGAAAUUGAUGUGUAAGUUGAUUUAGACUCACAUGAUCUCAUUCUGAUUCCAUAGUAUGGCGUAAUUGUGAAAAGCCGCGGUGGGAUCGAACCACAAGUGGAACUUCAUCUCCCUGCCGAUGAUCCGGCCGUCUCCGCUGCCCCUGACGUAGACAUUCGUCUGCAACGUAUACGGCCUCCCCGGGGUCGUCCCGAGAAACUCGAUGUCGACCUCGUCGUGGUACCCGGGAUGGACUUGAUUGUUCGAAAGCUGCAACGAUUUUUUUUUUUUUUUUUGCAUUCAAAAAAUAAAAAUUAUAAACCAGCUGCAUUUGAAACUUUUAAUAAGAUGUUAGUAAAUGCUGCUCAUGGUCAUGGAAUGCGGCUUCCUCACGUAGAAUGCUGUGAUCACUCCUGCAGUGUAGCCUGACUGAAGCUUGAUCGACGCGCCGAAGUAACCAUUUCGAAACGGGCGGUUCGACUUGAAUCCGCUACCUUUUCUCGCCCCAUAAUGCAAGAGAGUAUCAAAAGAGCGAAAAUACUAUAAGAUGCACUGAAUCUGAUUAAACUUAUUAUAUGACUAAUUAAUAAAGAGAAAAAAAAAAAAGACAAAAGAAAUUGGUGGACCUGAAUUUCUAUCGAGCCAUAUUGUGACUGAGGAUUGGUCUCUGGAAACUGAUUGAUGCUGAGGACCCCAAAGGUUAUUGAACACUUGGUAGAAGCCCCUGGAUCUGAACCUGUAGCUUGGGUAAUACCCAGGGGAGGGUUGAGCAUUGGUGUGAUGGAGAAUGCAGAGGAAAACAAAAUGGAGGAGGAGAGCCAUUUUUAAGGCCACAAUGUACUAGAAAGUGGAAAUAGUAUGUCUGUUUUGGUAUGGAGAGAGGUGGGAUAAAAAGGUAGGGCUUCAAGGGUUGUAUACUUGUAUAUAUAUAUAUAUUAAAGGUAGAUGGGGAAACAGGGGAAGUGAUAUUUAUGAGGUUUUAGCCUUUUAUGGAGGCAUUGAAGGAAAUGGGUAAAAUGGGGCCUUGGAUUUUGAGAGAGAGAGAGAGAGAGAGAGAGAGAGAGAGAGAGAGAGUUUGGUGAAAGGUGUAGUAAAGGGGAAGCACACUGCUACACUCCCAACUUGCCCAUCAUUUCCAAUUGUAACUUGUCUAGCUAUUUGCUGGUGCCCCUAAUGAGAAAAAAUUCUAGAAUGUAACGGGUAUAUUAGUGACGUGGCGUAAUAAAUCAAUCAAAUUAAUCAUUUUAAGAAUAUAUGUUCCAUUAUGAUUGUAAAAAAAUAUUUUUAUUGUACUUUUGUUUGAAAAGAAAGAAUGUGAUUGACUUGUUAUUGAUGACGUGGUGCAAGUGUGACAGUGUAGAAUUCCUCCCUAAUGAGAGGGAUGAUGAGAGAAGGUGAAAAUGUUGCUUAGACCGUGUUUUAUAGAACAAUAGAAAAAUGUAGUUUUUGGUGAGUGAAAAAGCUGUUUCAUAAUAAAAAUAUUAUAUUUGUUGAAAAAGAUCUUCUUUGUGCCGGUUUAGGAUAUGUCAUAUUCCAAUAAACUAUAUAUAUAUAUAUAUAUAUAUAUAUAUAUAUAUAUAUAUAUAUAUAUAUAGCAGUACUGCUGUGUUCUCGGAAGCACGGAGACCUUCGUGCUCCUGAGCCAUUUUCGAUGAUGGGAUUUUCGAAUCGACGAUCGGCUCCGUUAGACUUGAUCUAGCGCAUUUGAAGUUUCUAGAAAAUAAUUUUUGCUAUUUUUCGAUAUCAUUGACCUAGCAAUCGAAAAAAUUCAAAAUCAAUAAUUUUUAACGGCUGAAAAUAAAAAUCUUAUAAAAAAUGGUGAUAUAGUACUAAGCUUUUCGAUCAGAAAUAUUAAUCUUGUUGUAGAUAGUAUAAAAAAUUUUGUAUCAAAAUUUCAUCUGAUUUGAAUACUUUUACACCGUUAAACUUAAAAACGGCAGAUAUCAACCAUUAAAAAUUAUUGAUUUUGAAUCCUUUCGAUCACUAGGUAAAUGAUAUCAAAAAAUCGCAAAAAUUAUUUUCAUAGAAACUUCAAAAUAUCCUAGAUCAAGUCUAAUGGAACCCGAUCGUCGAUUCGAAAAUUCCAUCAUCGAAAACGCUUAGGAGUACGAACGCCUCCAUGCUCCUGAAGCACAACAGUCCUUGCUCUAAUAAUAAUAUAAUAUAUAUAUAUAUAUAUAUAUAUAUAUAUAUAGCAUAGAUUUCUAUCUGAAAUGAUUAAACUUUUCCGAAUCUGAUUUUAUCAGUCUGACACGUCAGAUGCACCAUAUAUUAUAUCCAGGGUAAAAUAUACCUCUACUUAGUGAGAUUCAAAGGUGACGUGGUGGACCAGGUCUAGGCAUUUUUUUUUUCGAAAAAAAAAAGGGUGGGAGGAACCAUUAUUGGGUGAAUAGGCCUAAGGCUCACCCCCAUUUGGCUGUUAGCUUGUGGUGGAGUCUUCUUUCUGAUUUCUGAAUUCAAGGAUCUAUGCCCAAUCAUUGCUUGGCCUUGUUAGAUUGCCUUCCUCCCAUACAUGUAUCUUGCUUAUUUACCCUUCACCAUCUAUGAAAAAAAAAAAAAAUUACAUGUCUAGUGAACCGUUCAUUACUGUUUUAAAGUUAACGCAGUGUAUGCGUCCAUACGAUAAACAGUCGAUUAGAUUACUGAUAUAUGUUCUUCUAUUUUAGCGAUUGUUUUUAAGGCUUUGUUUGGUCUUACUACUUUCGACAGCAAAAACCUUAGGAGAAAAAUGGGCAUCGUGCAGUAGGAAACAGAAAUAAGAUGUUGAGCUCAAAGAAUAGAUGUUUCAAUUUAGUGCUUAUGGUUUCGCCAGUAGAGGUUAAAACAGGGGAUGUGUCUCCCUAAACGAGUUUAGUUCACAUAAUCACGUUUUGCGACAGUUGGCUCCUUUGUUUGCAUUGCUUUGGAGCUCUUAACGUUGUGAGUGGAGAGGACAAUUCCUUUAAUUGUGUGUAUUUAAAUACUAAUUAGGCAACCAAAUCGAGGAGGUUAAUUGGGACUUUAGUGCUCAGAGCCCAUGAGCAUGUGAACAAAUACUAAACAGCUCCAACAUUCCCUUUUAUCUUGUUGUGCAAAAAGGAUGAUGCCUUUUAGGGUUCGCAAGACCCAAUCCAAACCAAUUCGAGCAAGUUUUUCUUUCAAAUCGAUCUUUUGGUCAACCUGAUAUUAGAGCCAGCUCUAAAUCCUUCAGUUCCACGGAACCGACUACUCACGCCAUCUAGCAUGUUUGGGUUAAUUUUCUCAUUAAUGUCUGUAUCGAAUCGUCAUUUUUUACCUCAUCUACCAAUUUACGUAUUUCGUAAGCAAAUUCUGUGUCAAAUCAAUCUUUUAGAUUACAUAUUUUGUAAGCAAAUUCUGUGUCAAAUCAAUCUUUUAGAUAACAAAGUCCAUCUUGAUUUUGCAUGUGGGGGAUAAGAUCAAAAUCCAAGUUGAUCGGUAGAUCAAGUUGGGUUGGAUUAACCUGGACUGGCAACUAAUGCUCAUUUAUUUAUAAACAGGAGUUGGAUUAAUAUGGUCAUAAUGAUCAACCAACCCAAUCACCAUUCAGUAGCCAUAAUAAUGAUUAAUCAAUUACAGAGGGAUUAAUAAUACGUGUUUUCAAUUUACCAUUAGCUCCAAUAGCUCUACAUCGGAUGAAAAAAUAAUUAUAAUUAGAAUAUAUGAGACCUACACGCUAAUAAUAAUAAUUGGGCAUUUGGAACCGAUGGUGUGGUUCCAACAAAUUAUUGUUGCUAGCGGGCCGGGUCAUUACAAUUGAUAUUAAAGCAGAAUAUUAGUUGAAAGUGUGAGAGCUAAGUGUUAUACGGGACAAAGUGCUACACCAACGGGUUUGGUGGGAGUCACUUCUUGAACCCGUAGGAGCCACACCUAAAAUCUCAUAUCAUCUGAUAACUCUGGUCUGUAUGUCUGUGAUUUGGGUUCGGAUAAUAACUGGAUUUAAGCAUUUUGGGUCGAUUGUUUGAGUCCAACGAGUUAUUAUUGCUAGCAGGUCAGGUUGUUACAAUUAGUAUUAGAGCUGAAUACCACCCGAAAGUGUGAGAGCUAAGUGCUAUAUAGGACAAAAUGCUACGCCAAUGGAUUUGGUGGGAGCCACCUCUUGAACUCGUAGGAAUCUCUAAAAUCUUUUAUCGUCUGAUAAUUUUAAUCUGUAUAUCUGUGAUUUGGUUUGGACCCAACGAGAACGUAACCCUAUAUAUAAAGUACAGUAGGACUAGGGGUGGAAACGAGCCGAGCUCGAGCGAGCUUAUCUCGGCUCAAAUUCGGCUUGAAAUUAAUUUCGAGCCUAAAUUUAAGCUCAAGCUUGGAUUGAAAUUAAUUCGAGCCGAGCUCGAGCGAGCCUAGUUUCGAGUCGAGCGAGCUCGAGCCCUAAACGAGCCGCUUGAAAUUCUCAACAUUAUACGAUCAAUAGUUUAAUUUGUAUAGAAUAUUAUCUAUAAUUUGAUACAAAAAUAUGUCAAAUAGUUCAAAGUACAAAAGAAGUAUAUGAAAUAUAGUAUUAUAAUAUGAAAAAAAAAAAAUUUGAGUUGAAUAUCUAUUCUUUUCCGUCUCACAUAUCUUUUCUUUCGCCUUCAAUCUCCAUAUUAUUCAUUUUCAUUUAUACAAUCAAAAAUAAAUAAAUUAUAUAGAUAAAUAUUGGAUUAAACUAUCCAAUCAUAUAUAACUAAAAUUAAAAUUUUAUAUGACUGUAAAUAUUUUGUAUAUUCUCAAUUACAUACAAUUAAGUCAGCUAAGUAGGCAUGGCGGGUUAUAUGCUGUUACUUGGUAACUUGGAGGGCUUCCGGCUGGCCACUUAGGUGAGACAGAGAAAAGAGAAAGAUAGAAACGUAUUAAAUUUAGAGCUCUGUGAAAGAAAAAAAGAAAGGAAAAAUGUAUAAAUUUAGUGAAAUUUUGAUCUUUUAUUUGUCUAUUGAGUUUGUUUUUAUGGGUCAACAAUAUUGGCCCAAUUUUAACUAAACUCCGAUUAUUCACUCAGCCUAUAUAUAAUUAAAAUAUAAUAUAUUUACAUAUUUUUUAAUAUAUAUAUAUAUAUAUAUAUAUAUAUAUUCGAGCUUUUCGAACUUUUCGAGCCUAAAUCGAACGAGCCGAGUAAUACUCAAGCUCGGCUUGAAAUGAAUUUCGAGCCCUUUUUUUUGUUCAAGCUCGGCUCAUUUAAUUUCGAGUCGAGCUCGAGCGAGCCAAAUAUCGAGUCGAACGCGAGUCGAACGCGAGCCGGCUCGCUCAUUUGCCAGCCCUAAGUAGGACUAGACAUUUUAAUCCAGCUAUACAUUUUAGAUUGUGGCUAAACUCAAGAGAUUAAAAAGGUUAAACAUUCUAGAAUUAGAAUAAUUUAAGGAUAGAUGACUUCUCUCACGCAAAAGGGGCACAACAUAAUAAGCCAAAGGUAGUAAAACGGAUUCAGGGCAAAAAGACAUCACUAUUUAUGUGAUCUAAAACAGAUCAGGCACGAAGAAAAGAAAAAAAAUAAUCCAAUCUGAAUCUACCCAGCGAAAUCUCAUCUAAAUCUGCUCUGUGUAGCAUCAAAUCAGAAUUGGAAUUUUGUGAAUCGCUUGUUGGUAUGGUGAGAACCGGGGGCCGGUCUCUCGUCCCAAUCCCAAAUCUGCUCCGUUCGCAUACCUAACCUAAUUUUUAUACCUAUCAAGCAUAGGGCUUAGAUUUGGGACCAAAAUGGCCACCCUCUUAAACUUAGUACAACAAUUAUUACAUCUAGCCAAGUCUUAUUUCCUACUAGAGAUAGGGCUGAGAUAUGGACCCAAAAAAUGGCCAUCCUUUUAGAUCUAAUAGUAUAAAUCUUAAAGCACUACUUCACUGGUUUAGUUGUGAGCUGCAAGUGUAGGUUCAGUUGAGAGUUCGGUUCAGGUACAGGUCACACUCGAUUUCGAAGGCUUAAUAAAUAUCUAAUUUGUUAAUUUAUAAAUUUUCAUUCAAUAGAAACCGACGCACAAAUUACCAUUCAAGUGAAAUCGACGGCUCAGGUCGGUACUUUAAACUUGAAUUUAUUGAAGUGCCCUAGAACUUCAACAACAAGAAGCAAAAAUGACCGACUGUCUCUAGAACAAGUGGCAAAGGGCUUGAUGGUUGGUACUCGAAAUUCCAAGUUCGAAUCCUAGUUAAUUCACAUUUCCAGCUAAGUUUAUUUCUAAAUUAAAUAAACGAAGCGAAUAGCGUAUUACCUAUCUCUUAAAAAAAAAAAAAAAAAAGGCAAAAAUGAGUUUCCGAGCUUAAAAAACAGAAGCAACAAUUUGAUAUUUCUAAAAUUUUACUUUACACAAAAGCCAUUUGAAUAUUUGAAAAACUAAUAUUUUAAUAGCAUUAUUUCGGCAGCACUUUAUUAAAUAAUGCUACACUAUAAUGUAAAUAUAAGCUCUUACAACAAAACCAACUAGUUAAUUAGUAUAUACUAACAAUGUACCCGCGCUUUGCAGCGGGUGUAAUUUUUAAGUUCACAAUUACUAUAUUAAACAUUAUAUAAAGUCAUUUAAUAGAGUUAAAUAAAAAUGUUAAUAUAUAUAUAUAUAUAUAUAUAUAUAUAAAUNNNNNNNNNNNNNNNNNNNNNNNNNNNNNNNNNNNNNNNNNNNNNNNNNNNNNNNNNNNNNNNNNNNNNNNNNNNNNNNNNNNNNNNNNNNNNNNNNNNNNNNNNNNNNNNNNNNNNNNNNNNNNNNNNNNNNNNNNNNNNNNNNNNNNNNNNNNNNNNNNNNNNNNNNNNNNNNNNNNNNNNNNNNNNNNNNNNNNNNNNNNNNNNNNNNNNNNNNNNNNNNNNNNNNNNNNNNNNNNNNNNNNNNNNNNNNNNNNNNNNNNNNNNNNNNNNNNNNNNNNNNNNNNNNNNNNNNNNNNNNNNNNNNNNNNNNNNNNNNNNNNNNNNNNNNNNNNNNNNNNNNNNNNNNNNNNNNNNNNNNNNNNNNNNNNNNNNNNNNNNNNNNNNNNNNNNNNNNNNNNNNNNNNNNNNNNNNNNNNNNNNNNNNNNNNNNNNNNNNNNNNNNNNNNNNNNNNNNNNNNNNNNNNNNNNNNNNNNNNNNNNNNNNNNNNNNNNNNNNNNNNNNNNNNNNNNNNNNNNNNNNNNNNNNNNNNNNNNNNNNNNNNNNNNNNNNNNNNNNNNNNNNNNNNNNNNNNNNNNNNNNNNNNNNNNNNNNNNNNNNNNNNNNNNNNNNNNNNNNNNNNNNNNNNNNNNNNNNNNNNNNNNNNNNNNNNNNNNNNNNNNNNNNNNNNNNNNNNNNNNNNNNNNNNNNNNNNNNNNNNNNNNNNNNNNNNNNNNNNNNNNNNNNNNNNNNNNNNNNNNNNNNNNNNNNNNNNNNNNNNNNNNNNNNNNNNNNNNNNNNNNNNNNNNNNNNAUACCAGCACAACUCUCUCUCUCUCUCUCUCUCUCUCUCUCUCUAUAUAUAUAUAUAUAUAUAUAUAUAUAUAUAUAUAUAUAUAAUUGAGGAAUUGAGCUAGAAUAUUUUUAGAAGCACCAAGGACUUGGUGCUUCUAGGUUUCUAAUCCUUGAAUCUACUCCUUGAUUACUAAUAGUCUUUGGAUUAAACACUAUUCCACCUACCAUCACUUACCACCACCUGCCACCAUCAUCUUAACCCUACAUGUUUUCAUCCAAUGGCUAAAAACUCAAAAGCACCACUCUCUUAGAGUUGUGCUUUUGAAAGUAUUCUAACUCAACUCUAUAUACAUAUAUAGGUGGGGAGAGAGAUGGGAGAGGCUUUGGGGGAUACGUGUGACUCUGAGAUCCUCCAAACUCUCCUUAAAUGUAGAAAGAAGAAUAGAAUAGAAUAGAAAAGAUGUAUCUAAUAUCACCCCAUAAACCAUAUAUAUAUUCACAAAUCAAUAGUCUAUGGUGCACCAGGUGCACCAAAAGUAGCCCGAGUAUACGUGCGGGAUAGUAGAAUAAGUCGAUGGACAUUAGUGUAUAGUAAUAAAUAAAUAAUAAUAAAUUUGGGUGAUCCUUUUUAACUAGGGGUCUCAAUGUAACGCGUCUUCUGAAUUUUCAACCAAUCAAGCUACGCCACGUGUACACAAGCUUCACCGACACAUUUGGCUUUGUACCACAUCGGCUGUUAAAGGAAACGUGUGGAGCCACUAGGCCCUGUAAAAAGGGGGACCCGUGGGCCCCACGAAGCCAUUUUCUGCGGACCGGGUGUAUGGGCCAUCAGGAAGGCUCGUGGCCUAGAUCAACGGCCCAGAUCGUACGGGGUGGGUUCGUUGGCCCACCAUCUCCCCACGUGGAGAGUAGACCUUCUAGUUAUCUCCACCGUCCAUCUCACGAACUAACACAAAUUUUUAAAGCAAACACAAAUUUUAAAGCAAAUGGACGGGAGGACGUGUUCACUUACGCAGCCUCACGCCAAAUUUUGAAAUAAAAAAAACUUCUUUAAAUUUACAUAUAUAUAUAUAUAUAUAUAUAUAUAUAUAUAUAUAUAUAUGGCUGUAUUAUAUUACAGAAAACUCCCUAUCAAAACUCAAUUUUUAACUUUUCUUCCUUGUUAUUUAAAAACCUACACUUUGUCCCUUGUAAAAUAAAAAAUAUUCACUUCACCUCUUACUAUUAAUGAUCCGUUAGUGUUCCGUUUAUAAAAUAUUAUUAUAUAUUUUUUAUGCCAAAAAUAUCCUCAGCCUUCUUUUCUGUUGUCAAAAAAUGAUGAGGAGCAAAAUAGUCAUUUUGUCAUCACAGUUUACACCAUACCUCCUAUGACUAUUUUUUACGGUGUACCUCUUGUGACUAUUUUUUAUUUUAUAAGGAGAUAAAGUAUAGAUUUUUAAAUGACUGGAAAAAAAAAAUCGAAUUUUGAUAGAAAAGUUUUCUAUAAUUUAGCCUAUAAAUAUUUUAGAGUAGUUUUUUAAUUAGUUUUUUAUUCCUUAUAUAUUUUUUAUAGUUAAGUCUCAUACGAAAAGUUAAAACUCUUUGUUAGUAUGUCAAUUUAAACUCUCAACGAAUUUUAGCCCAAACUUCUUCCCGACAUCGACUUUUUCAAAUUUCUUACAAAAUACCGAAGCCGAAAGGUCGAUCUUUGUACGAUUCACGAUUUUAGUGUCGAAACAAACACUGUCGAACUCAUUCAAUAUAUCGUCAAUGAAAACAUCCAAAUUAAGGGGCCAUAAUAAAUACAUGUAGCUAUCAAACUAGUUGGCAUUGAUUGACCACAUUAAGAAGGGCCACCACCACUUUUGCUUAUAUGGUUGUGUAGAGGAUAUUGUUAGGUAUUAGAGUGGCUCCAAAUAGAUCAUGCACAAAAGAUCGAAAUUCUGCAAGAAUCUGAUAAUAGGGUUUACCUUAAUGAUUGAUUGCUAAUAGCCAAUUUGACACUGUUUACGGAUCUUAAAGCAUUCUUCUCCAGAUCACUAAUGAAGCUCAUUUUAUGCCAUUACCAUUCACUAGAUCUAAUGUACUCAAAAAGGGUCAACUGGCCUUGAAAUUAAUUAAUCUGGAAUUAAGAAAAAACUAGCAAAACAAUCAUAGAGCUUUACAAGACUCUAUUUAGAAAGAAAGUAAAUUCAUAAAAGAAUUGAAUGGCACUCACAAGUUACAGCCACUUUUUGACAAUAGCAAAACAACUUUUCUUCAAGAUCAGCUAUGUGAAGAAAACCAACAUACAGGGGUGGGGUGAAAAAGAAAAAGAAAAAAGAAGAAAGUAAAAGAGUGGCUCCUCACAGUGAUUCUGAGCUAUCAUAGCUUUCGUCGCAACUGGAUUUGAUUAUAACCCGAGCACCAGAAGCAAGCCUGCAAUAGUAAGAUUAAGCAAUCUCAAUCAAAACAUAUACGGGAAAGUAAAACAAAAACCGCGGUUACCAAAACAUCUAUGGGUAUGACACUCAACUUUCUUCGAUCUUGAUCACCUUUUCCUUCUCCUCCUUGAAGGACUCUAACCUCCUCGACGAACCUUUCGCAGAGGAAGAAUCGGUUAUUCUUUUACUUCCGCCCUUCGAUGAACAGAGAGGGGAGGAUUGGCCACUGCACUCUGGCACGGCCGAGGAGUUUCCCGCGUCGGAGAUAGGUGAACGAAUCGUUUCGUUUCUUGCUGAUCGGCAUGAUGCCAUUUUCAUUGCUCGAGGGAGACACUUGACACUUGACGAGUCCGCUAGGUUUUCUUUGUUUCCUUUAGAGUCAGGUAUUUUGGAGGUUCUGCAUUAUGUUUAACAUAUUUAUUGCAGUUAAGACAUAUGUGGAUUGAUCAAAUCAAAAACUCUGGGGAUUGUACGAGUCUAUACAUCAAGAGAAAUUGUCGAAGGGGACUAUAUAUACAGUAAUUACCGGUCUGAAAAGGGUUUAUAGCUCUCGCCACGCAACACGUGUAUAUGGCAUAUCCAGGGUGGCAUCAUAUAAAGAUAGUGUUUGAUAUUGAAAUAUGAGGAUGGUACUCACGGUCGACACUUUCAACAAAAGCCUCAUUCACUGGUCUCCUUACUAGUAUUUUGUCUAUGCAUAUUUUACAACUGAUAUGAGAUCUAAAGCAGGUAGCUAGAGAUCACUAAUUGGACGAGAAUCGCAGAUAUAUGCAGCUUUACUCGUGAAUAAAAAUGUUAAUCUUAUCAGUUACCUAGAGCUUAGAAAAGUAGUACUAGAAAGUAAUAGCUUAAGAGAAAGAGAUAAAAAUGAUGAAAUCUACAACUAGUAUGGAGGGUGCAACAUACUCAAGUACCAUGUGUUUGGUUAAAAUUUAUGUAAUCAAAGGAGAGCCAACUAAAGGAGAGGCUCUUAAGUUGUAGCAUAAAUACAGAAAUUUAGAAUUACCUGUCCUCGUCAAAGGACGAAGAUCGCUUUAGAAUAGGCACCCCGGCCUCUCCCUCCUUGUGCCUCUUAGUCUCAAGCAAGCUCCCGCUAAAAUAUUCUGCCCCUUCAAGCCUCAUUCCCAUCAUCCUUGGCUUCUCCGAGAAGCCAUCCAUAUCUCCCACCAUCAUCGAAGUAGAAAAAAAUGGAGAGGGGAAGUUCAUAUGAGUGAACCUCGGCCUAUAAGUCGGAACAAGCCCAAAACUUCGGUGAUCCUUAACAGAUAUCGACCCACAUGUAAUCAAAUGCAUGAGCAAAUUCGUUGCCCUUAGCCUUGACGCGACAGGGACAUAAACCUCCUCCUCUUCUAAUAUCCUAAAACUAUUCCUCUUGCUUGCUUCAGCUCUUAUUAGAGAUUCCAAAGUAUCUAUUCUCCCACCCGAAGAAACACUAGAUGACGUUAGCGGCGGCGAUGAUUCAAUGAUCAUCUCUGGCUGUUCGUUCGAUCUUGGGGUACGUUUAGGGUCCCUUUCUUGGAAAUCCAACGGCCCAUCAUCUGUGGAAACUCCGGUGGUGCGAGUUUCCGCUUGAACAGGGUUCUUCCCUUUUCGAUCGUCUGUUUGAGUGGAGGCAUCUUGAGCACCGACUGGCUUGUAGAUUCUGUACUCUGUCGGACUGAGGGAGCUUGUUCUUGAUGAGGGGGCAGUUCUUCCUUUGGGUUCGGGAGAGAAGUUUCCAGAAGAACCGGAGCGAGGAGUGUGGCAUGGCUCAUCUUCUCGAAGAGUGGAAGGAGGUGGUGAUGGUGGAGUAGGAGGCGGCGGUGGCAAUGGUGAUGGUGGGGGAAGUUUUGUUCCCUCAACUAAAAUUGUGGGGGAGGAAGAAGAAGAGCAAACUUCUUGGUUUCUACAUGAAGUUGGGGAUUCCUGUUGCGGUUGUUUUGAAUUCUCGAUCUUGGUGUUGCUUGCGCCAUGGUGUUGUCGAUCUACAAAAGAAAAUGGAAAGGAAAUUUUAAGGCUAUUCAUAUGCCAUUUGUCCUAAACCCUCACCGUUCUGCGAGGACGCGGGUGCAAUGCCUACGCUCAAAAGUUUGAUACCCUCAUCACAUUUCAAUAGGUCACAUCCCCAUCUCUUCGACUCUUAGUUCAUGUAUAUCGUGCACAUAGAAUUGGGGUGGAAUUGGGGUGUUAAGUCUAUUUCUAAGCAGUUUCCUAUAAAAGCGAUAGUUUAGGUACCGCCGGGAAAGAGAGAGAUCUAAGUAGAGAAAUAUUAAAGUGUUCUUCUCGGUUUCCUCUUCAAAAUGAGGAAUUAGUAGACAUGACAAAAUCGAGGCAAUUCGUCGAGUACCUGGCGGGGAUCGAUCCAACAAUUCGGAACCUUUGAGAAUGUACUCAUUGCCCUGCGCGGGGUGAACCAAAUCGUCCUCCGACAAAUCGUGCCACACAAAUCCAUUCUUAUAGCUCCUGCACAAUUGAUCCCAUGAACCAAAUUCACCACCAGUUAAUGCACAAAAUUAGGGUUUUAACCAUGAUCUUCCUCCCAAUUACCUCUUACAAGACCACGAGUACAUCGCCGCCAUGCCCUUCCCUCUCAGCGCAUUGAGCCGAAUAAUCACAUCUGCAACCAAAACAACACAGAACCCAAAUCAAAAGCCCAAAGCAAAACAAAUCAAAGUCCCCACCUUUACACUACAAACCAACUACCUCUCAAGUAUAGGGCCUCGGAGGAGGAGGACAAUGGGACCUCCAUGAAGUGCGGGUGCUCGAGAUGGCGAUUGCGGCAGAGGUAAUACACAACAGGGACCUUCUUCGGCUGCGGCGACUGCGAAUGCUGCUUCGGCAUCGCCAUCGCCAUCGGCGGCGGCGGCUGCGGCUCCACCCAAACCCUAGUCCGUUCGGGGCUCGAUCGCGCCCCGUAUCUCCUCAUCCUCCCCUCCAUCCUCCCACCACCUUCGGCUACCAAAAAACUAGGGCUUUGAAGAUAAAAGGAGGCGCCUUUCCUCUACAUAUCAACUUCCUACGAGAUCUAGGCAAUAAUUCGAGCAAAUGCCGUGCAAUUAAAGCAGAAAAAUUGGGGGAAAAGAUGCGGCGGAGGAGGAAGAAGAGGACGCACUCAACCAACUUGAUGGGCGAGGGGAAUUAAUGGGUGGUGGUACGAUUGCUACUGGAUUUCGCUUGUGUUUAUGGUGGGGGAAUGGGUUCGGGAGAAGGGAUUAAAAAAAAAGAGAGCUUGGGGUGCGAAAUGUGCAUAGGAGGGGAGUGUGCGUACGUACGUGAGAUUAAAGAAGGGAUUUUUAUGGUGGUCGAGAGGAGAAGUGUGCAGAGAGAUGAGAGAGAGACGAGGAGGAGAGUUGGGGGAAGGGAACAAAAAGGGGGAGAGAGAGAGAGAGGGAGAAGUGUGAGAAAGUGAUUGAAGCGUUGCUCUCAUGUUCUCUUCCCCAUGUGGCCAUGUGUCUCUCUUUUAAGGAGGUCAAGUACAAGCUCUCCCAUGGGAGGGAGAUCCCAAAGGGCACACCUAUUUGUCCCCCUACUUAAAAAAAAAAAAAAACUUCAAAUAUAUUUUUUCUCAUUUUAGUAUCCUGUGAUUUAAAUUUUAUCAAGUUAGUACCGCAUGAUUUUGCACUUUUUUAUUUUAGUACCCUGUGAUUUAAAGUGUAUCAAGUUAGUACCAUGUGGUUUCGUACUUUAUCACUUUAGUAUCCUGUAGUUUAAAAAUCACAUGGUACUAACUUGAUACACUUUAAACCACAGGGUACUAAAGUGAGAAAGUGCGAAACCACAGAGUACUAAUUUGAUACACUUUAAACCGUAAGGGUACUAAAAUAAAAAAGUACGAAACCACAGAAAGGAUUUUUUGAAAUUUUUCCUUAAAAAAAAUAGUUAAUUUACCAACUGUUUGUACCCAACUCAGUUGACUGAGAACUCUCAUAAUAAUUAAUAUUAAAAUUUGACUAAAUUACAAAAAAAAAAUUUGUAAAUAUUUAUUUUUUAUUUUUUUAGAUUUUUUAAAAAAUUAUAUUUUACUUUCUUAAAAUUUUAAGUUGUUACAUUUAGGCCUCCUCCAUUAGAGUUUCAUCACUAUUCCGUUUAUUUUUUAUAUUUUAUAUCGAAAAUAUAUCUUUCAAAAUGACAGAAAUAUAUUAAAAUUUUAUUAUUUUUUCUUAUAGGAGAAGUCAGAGUAAUUUGGUCAUUUUGCCCUAUCCAUUAAUACCGUAGUCCUUGAAAAUAAAUUUCUGAAAUUUUAAUAGGCAAAAUAUAAAUUUUUGAAAGUUAGAAAGAAAAAGUGAAAAAAGGAAUAUUCAUAGGAGGGUUUUCUGUAAUUUAACCUUAAAAUUUUUAAAUUUAAAAUUUAAUUAUUUUAUAUUUUUAUUUGACUUUAUUUUUUAAAAAUAAACGAACGGAUUGUUUACCCUUUUUUCUGUCAAAAAUAACAAAAUUUCAAUUUGUCUAGUUAUAUUGUAGGAUAUAAGAAAAUUAAUUUUAAUUUUUUUUUUAAUUGCUUCUGAGUUCAGCAUAAUCCCAUGUACCAAAUUAAAACAUUUACUUUUAGAACUAGAUUAACCUUUAACUUCUUAUUAUAACUACAACUAUAAAUUUAUUAAUAUUCUUAUGCAAAAUUGUAAAUGAAUAUAGUAGUAUAAGUAGGACCAAAUAAAUUUCUUAAAAUUUUUAUAAGUUACUGUUAUGGCCGAGAUUUGGCAGCUAGAAUAUAUCAAACGAAUUUGAAAAAUUAAUAGUGGCAUUAUUUUUCAAGAAUAAAUAUAAAAAUAUAUUUUACUACCGUUUGGUUCGGGGUUAAGUAAAAACUUGUUAUUUCAGGAAUACAGUUAAGUUCAGGGUUAAGAUAGGAUUAGAGUAAUUUUAUGUUUGGUUGAGAAUUGAGUUUAGUCCAGAUAUAGAUAAAAUAAUAUUUGAUUGGAAUAGGUGGGAUAAGAAGGAUAAUGGAUAAAAUAGUAUUUUGUUUGGUUGGAAUAGCAAGGUGUGGUGGGGUGGGGUAGGGUGGAGCCUCCCAUAUUGAGUGUUUAGAAAUAACUUCGGGCUUAAGGGGUUAUUCCACCCCUCCGAACCAAACGGAUGCUCAGUGUUUGGUUAGGGGAUAGGGAUAGGAAUAGGCCCUUAUCCCCCUCUUUAUACUCAAAUGCUAAUUUUUUAUCCGAGAAUAGUAGUUCUCAGUUAUCCCCACCAACACCUUCAUUUUUUAUAUAAAACUAUUUAAAGUUAUUCUUAUUCCCGGGAACAAUCUAAUUUUCAUCCAAACACUAUUUUUCUUAUCCCCAUACUUGUACUUAUCAUUAUAAUAGCUAGUUCUUACUUAUAUCCGAACCAAACGGAUGCUUAAAGAAUAAUCAGAAUGCCGACACGUCAACAGAGUACAUAAAAGACAGUAAAACUCACGGAUAAGUAGAUAGACAACAAUAUCCAAUGAAUUUAUCUUACUGUCCUCAUUGGAAUGGGGGGCAAUUUGGGGGUACACCAAGCAUUUUUCUUUUUCCUUAAAAUAGUUGGGAAGCUUUGGUUGUUGUUAAAGCAAUUAAUGAGCACAGCUACUGUUGUUUGCUUCUUUAUUAGAUUGAAGAUUGUUCCAAUCCUUGGUUGGCUUUGUCAGGCUUUUCUUACUUUUUGGCUAUCUAUUCUCUUCUUUGGAUUAAAAUUAUUAAAAAAUUUAAUAUUUUUAGAAUUAAAUUUGAUUUUAUCAAAGUUUGUGUAUUAUAUCUAGCUAGGAUUUAGACUUUUUUUUUAUUUUGAUAAUAUCAAAAUUAGGUUUAGAAAUUACCAAUUCCCAAUUAUCAGGCCAAAAAAAACAUACUUUGCAAUGGAUAGAUUGCAGUGGUACAAUUGAGUGACUUUGUUCAAGAGGUUAAAUUUUACAUAAAGUUCAAUUGACCAUGGCAUCCUCUGUAGUUGUUGUCGGAUCGUUGGCGCUAACUAUUAAUUUCAAAAAUUCGAGCUAUUAGAAAUACGCAACCAAUUCACUUAAAGCGUAUUAGAUACCGCGUCCACGGAUCUCGAUUGCGACUCGGCCCGUCCAGCCUCACGCCACUUCGAAUAUUACUCGGCUCGCCCAGCCUCAUGCCAUUUCGAAUAUGACUCGGCCCAACAUGACCUUCCGCCACAGGGCAAGUUGCUGGUCCAUUUAAGUCAACAAUUAUUUUCCACUUUAAACUCGUCUUAUUUUGUCAAUCACUUUUAUCUUCCCAAUAGAUCUCAAAUUAAAAUCUUACUAAUUUGCAAACUAAAAAUUAUUUCACAAAUUUUUUUUAAAAAAAUCGGGAUUUCGCAUGGUGAAAAUAUUGAUGCGAGUUUUUUAGGUAUCAAAAUCAAAAGCAUCAUUUUAAAAUUUACUCAGGAAAUAAAAAAAAUCCAUGGUACAAUUGUUAUUUCUUCGUAAACUUAUUUAAAAAACAAAUAAAAAGUAGUCAAUGAGUAUCAAAAAUAAGAUCUAAAUCUUAGUUGCAUGUAACUUACGUACAAAAAAUAAAAGCAUUUUUGAAACAUUUGUACUGUCAAAGACAAUUAAUAGAUAAGAACGUAUAAAAUUUAUUCGAACUAUGAACUAUUUUAAAUUUAUUAUUCGAUAUGAUAUUUUAACUUUAAAAUUUAAGUUAAUUUCUUACUUUAAUAAAUUUAUAGUUGCUAAAAUUAUGUGAAUAUACUAACCAACCUUGUAAUAAUAAGCAACUUAUUCAAAUUUUAAAGUUAAAUUAUCAUUAAUUGACUCAACUCAAAACAGAUUGAAAGUUGGACAAUAACAUUAAAAUUUUAAAAUUUUGAAAUAUUAAACAGUGGAUUCAAAAUCAUUCAUAAUUCAGAUAAAUUUUUUUACCCUACUAAUUUCAAAUUUCAAAUGCAAAUGUCCUGUACAGAGCAGCAGCGUACAUACGGAUGGUGCUAAUUAAGCAUUCAUUGCAACAUUAAUGAGAAGUUAUUGUUGGUCAUAAUUAAUGACUUGUUAUGUAAGUAUUUGUAAAUUUUUGUUUCCAAACAUGUUUAAACUUUUUUCUAAGAUAUUUGUAGGUCACAUGUGUGGAUCGCAAGCGCCAACAAACUAUCCCAAAAACACAUACUUAUAAGAAGAGCGCACUCAUCGCACUUAAAAGCUCAGCUACGACGCACCUCCAUUCAAUUUAUUAGAUUCGCCCAACUCAAUUUAUUAAACAAAAUGUUUAACCUAUUUUAUUUUAAUAAUAAAUAGCGAACAACACGUACCAACAUUUUCUCGCCUGGGAACUAGAUUUAGUCUCAAUUAUAUUGCCUUAGAAAUAUACACGUACAAAUUUUUUUUAGACAACGAGAAGGGUAAAGUACUAUAUCUAUUCACUCUAACAUGUAAAUAAAUUAAAUUGAAAAGUUUUUAACUUAGCUAAAUGGAUAUGGAACUCACAAUACCAUUUAUUUUUAUCUGCAUGAAAUAUAAUAUAGCAUAUUGAAUUAUAUAAGUAUCAUAAUAUAAUAUUAUGAUUAUGGUUAUUAGUAUUGAAAUCAGAAAUAAAAAUAAACAUCACAAAUAUUCAUAAUUGAAAAAUGUUACAUAUAUACACUGUUAAUUAGGCGUAAAUCUUACACCUAUUAAAUCUUACGAUUUCAUAAAAGAAAUCCAAAAAAGGAAAAAAAAUGAUAUGACUAAUUAAGAGAUAAAAAUUCUUAGAUGAACAUAAUGUACCUUUUGGCUAAAAUACAGAUAAAUAUUUAUUUUUUUUAUUUUUUUCCUUGAUUUUCAAAAAUUUAUAUUUUACUCACUCAAAUUUUCAAGACAAUGCAUUUGGCCUCCCCAUCCAUAUUAGUUCUGUCACUAUUCCAUCUUUUUUAUGUAUAAUUUAUUAAAAAAAUAUUUUUUCUUAUAAAAUGAGUAAAAAUAAUUUGGUUAUUUUCUCCCUCUUCUUUAACAACAUAACACUCUUUAAAUAUUUUAAAAUUCUAAAAUAACAAUAUAUAAAAUUUUAAAACUUAGAAGAAUAAGUAAACAAAAUAAACAUUUAUAAAAUUUUUGUAAUUUUUUUUUAAAAUUUUAAUUGCUCUUUCAGAUUAGGAUUGGGGAACACAUAACCAAUAAUUUAAGCCUGCAUACGACAGGGCUCUUUUGAAAAGUGCAGGGAAAAAAAGAAAGGAGCAGUACAAAGCGUGACGUUGAACAAACAUGUUUCGUUGGAAGGAUUGGACGUGUAGCUACAGCCUACAGCAGCUCCUUUUUGUGUUGGAUUUGGACUUUGCACGCAACUCAUUGCCCCUCUUUUUUAGCGUUUUUAGCCGCUUCAGUGUACGCAUUAGGUGUUCUUACACUGCAUGCACGAAGACAAUGUCACGUUCUCAUUACAGUUGAGUUCACUCAUCGCUAGCUAAUUUUGUGUGUCUGUGUGUGUGUACUGGAAUGUGGAUUAAACACUUUAAGUAGCUUAUCCAGAUCUUAAGAUGGCAUGCAUUUGUCUAGUGUGGACCACACCUUAUGAUAAUCCUAAUUAUAUUUGGUAUAACUUCACCGAACCUGUGUUAUGCUAACACCCUCUACUAACUUUUUUUUGUAGAAAGUAAUAGACUGAUUUGUCACUAGGGAUGGUAAUCUAGUUCGUUGUUCGUGAGUCGGCUCGUCUUUUACUUGAAAUGAGCUCAAGAUUGGCUCGCUAGUUUAGUAAACGGGCCGAACACGAGUUGAACUUUUCGGUUUGUUUAAUAAAUGAGCCAAACACGAGCUGAAUUUUUCGACGGGUUACUUUAACGAGCCAACUCGCUCGUGUUCGGCUCGUUGACACCCCUACUUGUGAUAGAAUUAGUGUUGAACUUGGUAAAAUGUCGAAUUAACUUAAUGUGUGAAACUGUGAACUACUGAAAUCAAAAGAUAGAGAGUUGAGGGAUCUCGAUGAAGUAAAAAGCCCUCGUACAAUAUUGGGUCUUAGUGUUGGGCUAUUUGGGCCUAAGAAGCCCUAUAUUGUUUAAUUUUAGGCCCUAUAUUGUUUAAUUAUUAGUAGUGUAAGUUUCGUUACAAAAUGGGCCGCAGCAUAUGGUAAUGGCCCUAAAUACCAGGCUAAGUGGGCCCAAUGGGCCCAUAUUUCUGAUUGAAUUACUUUAGUUUAGUCAUCGUCCUUUUCUCCGGGCGCGUCGCAUAUGGGUUAUGGAGCCCCGAUAUAUAUAGAGGGAAAACUGCAAAUACCCGCCCAUAAGUUUCCACUAUAUUACUUUAGUACUUAAUGAUUUGAAGUGUGCUACUUUAUGAAGUUAAACGUACCGUAUCUAUCGCAUCAUAUCGUGACAAUAAGAUAUCAGCACGAUAUAAUUUCUAUACCGAUGAUAUAACUUAAAAUUUUAUUUCUUACAUUAGUAAGUAAUUUUCUUAAUAAAAUUUAAAAGAUUUGAUAAAGAUGUAUAACAAAUAAUUUAAAUAUUUUGUUGCUAAAAAAAAUAAAUAUUUUAUAUUAUUAUGUGUCGGCACAAAAGAAUUUUUUUGACCAGCACACAUCGGCACAACUCGGCACGCACCGUGUCGUACCGUGCCGGCAAGUUUCCGGCACGACCCCGUGCCACGGCACUUAAAUCCUUGCAAUANGACAAACAAAAUUAUAGAUACUAAACUAAUACACUUUAAAUUAUGAGAUAUUAAAGUGAAAAUGUGUUAAAUAACAUGCAGUUCUUUAAAAUUUUUUAUAUACAAGAGAGAAAUGCUAAAGGGAAUGCUCGUUCUUAUUCUUAUAUUUUAUUUUAUUUUUUAAAAUAUUAUAAUUAAUUUUGUGUAACUAAUAAAAAAAAUAAUUUACUGAAAAACAAAAAACAAUAGUAUUUUUUUUUAUCAUCUUAUUUAUUAGUAUAAAUUUUUUUAAUAAAAUAAAUAAAAAAAAUCUGUACGUCUUAAAUGGUUGACUUUCUAUCAAUUUAGCAAUAAAAAAAAUUAAUUUUUACCUUAUGUUUAAUCAAGGAUUAUUUUUAAUCUAAAAACCAGUUUCAAGCAAACAAACGAAUCAAUAGAAACAGGGCCAAACCUAGAGUGAAAGCAAAGGCAAAAGGCCGUGGACAGGAUAUUUGGUGGACCUUGUGCACCACGUCAUUUGUAGACCGCCCAAUAAGCGGAGAAAAAUUAAACUACAGGUCGCCGUUCGAAGAACUCGGUGGCGGGAAACCACGAUUCGCCGACUUCAUGUUGGAGAGUCGGUGACGGAGCAGCUCCUGCGCGCCGACUUCAACGGGAAGCUGCAAUUCUAGUGACAUCCCUUUCAAUUUUUAUUUUUAUUUUUAGUUUUAGUUUUAGUUUUUACUACGAUUAAUUUGAUUAAUCAAUUAAAAGUUUUAUUCUACUCGAUAAUUUUAUUAAAUAUUAAAUAUUAACUUUUUUUUUUUGCUAAUGCUUAGAAAAGAUAUUUCAAAAUACCGAACUGAAUUGUAAUUCAGGAAGUAGUAACAAAAGAUCCAAAAUUGUCAGAUCAUAUUUAUUCUCAGUUUAAAGCCAUAAAAUGCUUUAAAUGCUGGGCUUGUCCCACAGAAGCAAAGGCGAAGUACUGGACUUGUUGAUAUUUUUCUCAAUAAGAAGGAAAAAAUAUAUAAUUUGCCUAAAUUACGAUCCAUUUGAAUCCAACUGCUCAAUCUUUUGAAAUUUUAAAUAUAUUAUCCAAUCUUUCAAUUUUUUUGAUUUGAGUUAAUUAACAAUAUAUUAACUUCAAAUUUUGAAUGUAUUGUUUAUUUCUACACAUUUAAUUAGAAUAUAUCAUAAAAUUUUCACAACUAUAAGUUCAUUAAAAUAGAUAAUUAGUUUAAAUUUUAAGAUCAAAAUAUUAUUGACUAAUUCAAAUCAAACAAAUUAAAAGAUUGAGUAAUAAAAUCAAAAUUUUGAAAGAUUAAAUAAUCAAAUUUAAAUGGUUCAUAGUUUAAAUAAGUUUCAUAUAUUUUUAUCUAAUAAAAAUGUGCUAAAUCAACAUAUUAUUAAUGUAAAAACAAAGGGAAAACUUCAAAAAUCCCCCCGUGGUUUCGCACUUUCUCACUUUAGUAUCCUGUGGUUUAAAGUGUAUCAAUUUGCCCCCCUAUGAUUUUGUUUUUAUCUUUUUGACAGCUUUUUUCUUAAUAUUUUAUUAAAUUAUAUACAAAAAAUUUCAAAUACCCACUUAGAUUUAUCGAAUAUUUAUUUUAGUAUCCUUUAAUUUUAAUUUUAUCACUAAUUUAAGAAAAAAUAAUAAUAAAAUUGAUACUAAAAAGAGAAAAACGAAAUCACAAGGAAACAAAUUGACACACUUUAAACUAUAAGAUACUAAUGUGAGAAAGUGCGAAAUCAUAGGAGGGGUUUUUGAAGUUUUUCCAAAAAAAAUCAUGAUUCAUUCGAAUGAAAAACAUAGACACACAGCCCCUAAACAACAGGGCACCAUAAAUGAGACCCGUAAACAAUUCCUAUUACUAACACCCCACCGACUUUUCUAAGUUUUGCUACAAGAAAUUUUGUUUUGAUACAAGUAAAUUUCGUAGGAUGAAUUAGGGACUUAAUUUGAAUUAAUAAUUCCACCUACUACCCAUUAAUAAAUAUCAACAACAUUAGUAGUAUCCUUGGCUAAAAAAUUGAAAUAACCGUAAAAAAAUUAAUGCCAGCUCUUCCGAUUAAACAAGGUAAAAUCAAAAUAAUUAAGAAGUUUUAACAGGAAAACAUAUAGUUCACAAAUUAUUUUUAAUUUCAUACUUGAGGACACACUGCAUUUUUAGAUCCAAUGAACGGUUCUGCCACAGUACUUGCCAUUGCAACGGGAAGCACAGAAAAAGAUCAACACCAUUUCUCAUUUACCAUUCAUAGUAGUAACAUACUAACAUGUCAUGCAAAGUGGAGAUGAAACUAAACAAAAAUAUAGAUAAAUAUAGAUAAAUAUCCGAGUUGUAGCAUUGUUUGAUUUAACAAAAAAGAAAGGUAAUGACCACUCUUUAUCUUAUUUUAGAAUAAUGAGGAAUGUUAAUAGUCGAAAACUAUAAUGAGAGGUACCUGGGUUUGCAAUUACCGAAUACAUGAUCGUCGACGAGAAAACANUUUCUUUUGAGAGAGAGAUAUGUAGCACGCUAUGAACUUGGGUCUCGAGUAUCAAUCACCAAAUCCUUUGCCACUUACUCUAGGGACGGUCGGUUACUACUUUAUGAAGUUAAAAUUAAAAUUUAAUAGCCUAUCGAUACGUAUCAUAUCCAUCGUGUCAUAUCGUGCUAAUAAGAUAUCGGCACAAUAUAACUCCUGUGUCGAUGGUACAAUUCAAAAUUCUUUAUUUUUUAAACUAGUAAGUUUUUUUCUAAAUAAAGUUUAAAAGAUUUGAUAAAGAUGCAUAAUAAAUAAUUAGAAUAUUUUAUUACUAAAAAAAUUAAUGUUUUAUAUCAUUAUGUGUCAGCACAUAUAUAUUUUUUAUGAUCGGCACACAUUGACACGAUCUGACAUGCAUCUUACAUUCUUACUAUGCUAAUAAGCUUUCGGAAUGACUCCAUACCAUGGAAAUUAAAUUCUUGGUUAAAACUACCUGAUAGUAAAGUAAAAAAAUGAGUAAACCACAAUUCACAGGAGUAGGUAUUUAAAGUUUCUUCUACACACUUCAAGGGAGAAAUUAACGGAGGAUCUGACAGAAAAAAUAAAAUAAAAUAAAAUUAUAGAUACUAAAAUAAUAUAUUUUAAUUUAUAGUAUAAGAUACUAAAGUGAAAAAGUGUUAAAUCACAUGGGGACCUUUAACAUUUUUUAAUAUAUAAGAGAGAAAAGCUAAAGGGAAUGCUGGUUUUUAUUCUUAUAUUUUAUUUUAUUUUAUUUUUUAAAAUAUUAUAGUUAAUUUUGUCUAACUAAUAAAAAAAUAAUUUACUGAAAAAACAAAAAAUAAUAGUACUUUUUUUAUCAUCUUAUUUAUUACUAUAAAUUUUUUAAAUAAAAAAAUAUCUGUUCGUCUCAAAUUGUUUGACUUUCUAUCAAUUUAGCAAUAAAAAGAUAAUAAUUUUUACCUUGUGUUUAAUCAAAAAUUAUUUUUAAUCUAAAAACCAGUUUCAAGCAAACAAACGAAUCAAUAUAAACAGGGCCAAACCUCAAGUGAAAGCAAAGGCAAAAGGCCGUAGACAGAAUCUUUUGUGGACCCUGUGCACCACGUCAUUUGUGGACCGCCCAAUAAGCGGAGGAAAAUUAAACUCCAGGUCGCCGUUCGAAGAACUCGGUGGCGGGAAACCACGAUUCGCCGACUUCAUGUCGGAGAGUCGGUGGCGAAGCAGCUCCUGCGCGCCGACUUCAACGGGAAGCUGCAAUUCUAGCGACAUCCCUUUCAAUUUUUAUUUUUAUUUUUAAUUUUCGUUUUUUACUUCGAUUAAUUUGAUUAAUCAAUUAAAAGUUUUAUUCUACUCGAUAAUUUUAUUAAAUAUUAAAUAUUAACUUCUUUUUUUUUUUGCUAAUGCUUAGAAAAGAUAUUUUAAAAUACCGAACUGACUUAAUUGUAAUUCAGGAAUUAGUAACAAAAGAUCCAAAAUUGUCAGAUCAUAUAUAUUCUCAGUUUAAAGCCAUAAAAUGCUUUAAAUGCUGGGCUUGUCCCACAGAAGCAAAGGCGAAGUACUGGCUUUGUCGAUAUUUCUCAAUAAGAAGGGAAAAAUAUAUAAUUUGCCUGAAUUAUGGUCUAUUUGAAUCUAACUGCUCAAUCUUUUGAAAAUUUAAAUUUAUUAUCCAAUCUUUCAAUUUUUUUGAUUUGAGUCGAUUAAUAACACAUUAACUUCAAAUUUUAAAUGUUUUGUUUAUUUCUACACAUUUAAUUAGGACAUAUCAUAAAAUUUUCACAACUAUAAGUUUAUUAAAAUAGAUAAUUAGUUUAAAUUUUAAGAUCAAAAUAUUAUUGACUAAUUCAAAUCAAACAAAUUGAAAGAUUGAGUAAUAAAAUUAAAAUUUUAAAAGAUUAAAUAGUCAAAUUUAAAUGGUUCAUAGUUUAAAUAAGUUUCAUAUAUUUUUAUCUAAUAAAAAUGUGCUAAAUCACGAUAUUAUUAAUGUAAAAAAAAAAAAAAAAUUCAUGAUUCAUUCGAAUGAAAAACAUAGAAACUGAGCCCCUAAACAACAGGGCAUCAUAAAAGAGACCCGUAAACACUUCCUAUUGCUAACACCCCACCGACUUUUCUAAGUUCUGCUACAAGAAAUUUUGUUUUGAUACAAGUAAAUUUCGUAGGAUGAAUUAGGGACUUAAUUUGAAUUAAUAAUUCCACCUACAACCCAUUAAUAAAUAUCAACAACAUUAGUAGUAUCCUUCGCUAAAAAAUUGAAACAACAGUAAAAAAAAUCAAUGCCAGCUCUUCCGAUUAAACAAGGUAAAAGCAAAAUAAAUAAGAAGUUUUAACAGGAAAACAUAUAGUUCACAAAUUAUUUUUAAUUUCAUACUUGAGGAAACUCUGCAUUGUUAGGUCCAAUGAACGGUUCUGCCACAGUACUUGCCAUUGCAACGGGAAGCACAGAAAAUGAUCAACACCAUUUCUCAUUUACCAUUCAUAGUAGUAACAUACUAACAUGUCAUGCAAAGAGAUGAAACUCAACAAAAAUAUAGAUAAAUAUCCGAGUUGUAGCAUUGUUUGCAUUGUUUGAUUUAACGAAAAAGAAAGGUAAUGACCACUCUUAUCUUAUUUUAGAUUAAUGAGGAAUGUUAAUAGUCGAAAACUAUAAUGAGAGGUACCUGGGUUUGCAAUUACUGAAUACAUGAAUACAUGAUCGUCGACAAGAAAACACUUGGCCUAAUUUGAUGCACUUUUGCUCGUGCUUCAUCAGCAGCAGGCCCUAUUAAGGCAUCAUUUAAAAGGAAAAAAAAAAAAUCUAGUACCGCAGCAUAAAGCACAAAAAAAGAUUGAUAAUAGAAGAUCCAAUUGAUGCUUCGGAGGAUAUCUUUGAUAGUGCACUUGCUAACAACACUGCUCAAAACAUCAAUAUAUCAAAUAACACCAUACCAUACAGUAAAACCCAAACAGAUGGCAUAUCAUGAUACUCACUCCACUCACAUCAUUUUAAACUUUCCCGCUCCAGGGAUCGCGAGCAUAAAUCACAAUAAGAAGAACAUGCUUUCAUUCCAAAUACAAAUAGGGCAAAUAACCCCAAAGUGCCACAAGCAGAAAAAAAAUGAAAUAAGAUGCAACAGAACCAGCUCCUCUCAUUCUCUUAAAUAAAACGAGAGGAUCCUAUGUUUUCAAGCAUUACACACCAAAUAAAAGCUACAAAACUAGGUCCAGCACUAAGCAGUUUAACACAUGCAGUAGAAAUCAGCAUAGAGUCAAACAUCAGUUCUUACAGUUAGAAACUAACUCAUGUCUCGAUGUCCUGAUUCAAAAGACCAAAUAGACAACGUUUACCUGGCGUAGCCAUUUGUCCGACGGACGUAGCCUCUAUCCGGACUUCUGUAUGGAGAAUACGGUAAAGAUCUUGACCUUUCCCUUCGUGACCUGCUACUGUAGGGUGAUCUGCGAGGCGGAGGGGAAUAGUCACGGCCGCCACGAUAGGGUGAGCGCCUUGGAGAUCUACGGUAGCCACCGCCAAAAUCAUCGCGACCAUAGCCUCCACGAUAUCUUCCGCCAUAGCGGUAACCUCCCAAAAGAAAAAGGAGGUAGAUGAGUGAAGUCGACCAAAAAAUAUACAUGAAGAACAAAUGAAGGCACAUGGGGGGAAAAACCAGAAGAAGGUUCAUGUACAGCCUGCUUUGUUUGGGUAGAGUUUCAAACAAAAGUGUUAUUCUUAGGCAUAGUUUGGUAAUGUAGUGGUUAAAAGCACCAUUUCUAUACCAUAAAAGGCCUAAAAUUUUUAAAAUGCUUUCAAUUUUCUGUUCUUUUACACUAUAAAAAUUGAGGUUGCAGCCGCCACCGGAGAAGCAUGAGUCCGGUGGCGGUUGCAAUUAUAAUUUUAAACCAUAAGAGAGGAAGUAUUGUACAUGCUCUCAAUUUUUUUUGGGUCUUCCAUGUUCCUAAAAAUGGUGCUUUUACCCACCACAUUACCUGACUAUGCCUUAGAAAGAAACUGGAAGAAGCACUAAUAACUUCUUCAUUAGAAUCAAACAGUAUUUGGUACAGUAGCAGCAGAGGUUUCAAAUUGGACCAUCUGUAUGUAAGGCCCAAAAGCUCAUUGUGCUUUCACAACAAAGAAAAAGUUCCUAACUGUUUGCAAAAUGCCUAGCUACCGCUCUCUCGUGUAGAGAAGUUUCACUAGAAGCUAGGGCAAAUUUGCACCUAAAUCGUCAGCGAUUAUCAGGCUGGACUGAAGGAAAAAAGAAAAACAACUCACUGUCUCGAGGAUUCUUCAAGCCCAGGUAGUUUCCAGGUGUAGGGGUCCGUGGGCGCCCUCUCCUCGACUGAAAAAANNNNNNNNNNNNNNNNNNNNNNNNNNNNNNNNNNNNNNNNNNNNNNNNNNNNNNNNNNNNNNNNNNNNNNNNNNNNNNNNNNNNNNNNNNNNNNNNNNNNAAGAGGCGUUUUCUCGUUUAACGGCGUAAAGAUAUCCAAAUCAAUUGAAUUUUUAUUAGAAAAUUCUUUAAACUAUUUAAAACAAGAUCUAUACUCUUGAUCUUGAUUAUAAGACUCCUAUCAUCAUUUUUUAAAGAGUAUUCAUUUUCAGCCAUUCAUUUUUCUGUUCACUUGAUGGAUAAAAGAACAAUAUCGAAAGUGCGUGAAAUUUGAUUUCUAGGUAGUUUAAAUGGUUUAGAUCAUAUUUAACGGAGCCGAUCGUCAAUUUGGAAGCUCUAUCAUCGAAAACAAAUAGGUAGUAAAACGGCUCAUUUACUACUGAUAGUAUUCUAGCUCAACUCUCUCUCUAUAUAUAUAUAUAGUAGGGCUACUAUACGCUUAUGAGUAUAGAGCCCUUCGUACUCAUAAGUUGUUUUUGAUGUUCGGCUUUUUGAAUCAACGAUUCGCACCAUUAAAUAUGAUCUAGAGUAUUUGAAACUUUUAGAAAAUAAAUUUUGUAAUUUUUCAAAAUUAUUAUAAAGUUCAUCAAGCGGGUAUAAAAUGAACGGUUAAAAUCGAAUGACAUCCUAAAAAUGGAUGAUCGGAUCAUUCAAUUUAAGAUCAAAGUUAUUGAUUUUUAUUUAGGUAGUGAAUAGAAUUUUCUAUUAAAAUUCAACCUAUUCCGAUUCUUUUUCACCGUUAAACUAGCAAAUAUCUGAUACCAGCCGUUAAAAAUUGUCAAUUUUGUGAGCUUUUGAUCGUAAGGUAAUGAUAUCGAAAAAUUAUAAUAUUUGAUUUCUAGAAGUUUUAAAUGCUCUAGAUAAUAUUUAACGAUAUGGAUCGUCGAUUCGGAAGCUUUAUCAUCGAAAACAACAUAUGAGUACGAAGGCGAUCGUACUCAUAAGAGUAUAGUAGUCGGACUUUAUAUAUAUAUAUAUAUAUAUAUAGUUGAACUAGAAUACUCUAAAAAGUACCAAGAGGGUGGUACUUUUGAAUUUUUAGCUAUUGGAUGGAGAGAUGUAAGGUUGGGAUGAUGGUGAUAGGUGGAAUAAUGUUUAAUCCAACCGCUAUUAGUAAUCAAGAAGUAGAUCCAAGGGCUAGAAAUCUAAAAGUAUCAAGAAGUUGGUGCUUCUAAUAGUAUUCUAGCUCAAUUAUAUAUAUAUAUAUAUAUAUAUAUAUAUAUAUAUAUAUAUAUAUAUAUAUAUAUAUAUAUAUAUAUAUAUAUAUUGCUUUUGUAAUACAACCUCUACCAUCUCACUAGAAAGAAUAUAUAUAUAGAGUUGAGCAGGAAUACUAUUAAUACUAUUGGAACACUUUUUUUAACCAUUAAAUUUACGUUUUAAUCAAUUUUAUUUUUUAGAUCACACUAUUCAGCCAAACAUUUAUUCAACCCUAGGGGUCCCUCCACUAAACUCUAGCGGAUCAUUAUCAUCUUAAUUCUAUAAUUUUUCAUCCAGAAAUUAAAAAUUCAAUAGUAAAAGAGCCGAUAUACUAUUCAUAGUAUUCCAACUUAACUCUUUCUCUCUCUCUCUAUAUAUAUAUUAUUUGUUUUUGUUCCGACUCUUUUUUAGAGCUGGCCUUCAUGUCAAACUAUUACUCGGUAUCAUCUAAAUUUACCCGAAUUUUUACCGAGUUAAAAUUUCAAAAUGAAAACUAAAAAAAUAAAAUAAAAUAAAAUUUAAAUUUGAUUUUACUAGAAAUUCGACUCAUGACAAUGACAUACACUGUGCCAAUCUUCCACCUGGCGCCUAGAAAUUAAUAAGAAGCACACGUUGACUGACUCGUGAUCAAUGCUGACGCUUAAUUAUUAGAUCAUUAUUACAUAUCUUUCUAACUUCAAAGUUACGUCAGUUUUUUAUAUUUAUUAUUAUUUUAAAUAUUAUAUAAAAUUUUAGAAUAGUUAGGGAAUUAAAUUAUUAAAUUCCACCAAAGUGACACAUUNNNNNNNNNNNNNNNNNNNNNNNNNUGGCUCAAAAUCAACGGCUGAAAAUAAAAAUCUUACAAAAUAUGAUGAUAUGACAUUAAAAUUUUAGAUCAAAGUUAUUGAUCUUGUUUUAUAUGGUAUAAAGAAUUUUCUAUCAAAAUUUCAUGUGAUUUGGAUAUUUCUACGCCGUUAAACUUGCAGCCGGCUCACCACGGCCGUUAAAAUUAUUGAUUUUGAGCCCCUUCGAUCACUAGGCAAAUGAUAUCGAAAAAUCACAAAAUUUAUUUUCUAGGUACUUCAAAUACUCUAGAUCAACUCUAACGGAGCCGAUCAUCGAUUCGAAAGUCCGAACAUCGAAAACAACUUGGAAGCACGGAGGGCUUCGUGCUUCCAGAAGCAUACCAGCCCACUCUAUAUAGUGCUAUUAUACACAUAUCUACUUUAUAUUCAAAUCAAAUUCAUUGUAUCUGGUCAAAUUCGAUAAGUAAAAAAUAAACAAAUUCCAUAGCUACCGCCGUUCAUAUUUAGGUAACAAAUUAAAGGACGUGUUGUCGAAAAAAAAAAAAUUUACUAAAAUUUGGUGUGUGGAGCAUGCUAUAUUAAUUGGAUAUUGUAAAUAAAAUUCUGCAGCUUUGUCGCGCGACAAAAUUAGCUAACUUUAAUCCCAAACAAGCUCUUAAUUAUACGAGCACAAUCACGCACUAAAUACACUUGGAGAAGCAAAAUAAAAGGGUAAUAUUAUUAAUAGAUCUACUUUUCAUAUCAUCAGCUAGAUUCAUUAAAUUUGAUUAGAUUUAAUUUAUUUGAUCUGUCUAACCGUCUCUGUUACUUAAGAAUUAAAAAUAACUCAGCAAAUCGAUAAAUUUAGCUAGUUAAUGCCUGGGGAGAUACAUCAAGCAUAAACACUCACUUGAUUUCUCAUUCAUAUUGAGAUUAUAUAUAUACUUUGUCUCUAUUAUUGGCUUUGCCUCUCUAUAUUAGGAGUCAAUGCCUCUCUCUCUCUCUCUCUCUCUCUCUCUCUCUCUCUCUCUUGGAUUGUAAGUACUUAGCUUUGUUAAUGGGCAACCACUAAUAAAAAGCCUUUUGAUUGGUGGGUAAACUUAUUCCUUGGGUGUUACACCAUGUGCUACAAAUAAUCUUAAUUUUUUUUUUAAUCUUGUGUGAGGCCAACUAAGUGUAAGCUAGGUGGAGGAGUAUGUAUAGUCCAACUUAGAAUUAAUGCCUUGCAAAAUGGCACUAAACUAAAUCGAAAAAGUACACAAUGGGAUAGCUUCUAAAUUAAAAUCAAGAUGAUAAAUUUUUUUUUAAAGAAAAUAGUAGCAUGCUACUGUUUCAUUCAAAUUUUUUAAUAAAAUAAAUUUAACUAAAAAUAUAAAGUAACCAAGUUUGAAACUUAAAACUUUGAAUACCAAUAAUCAAACCUCCUACCACUUACGCUAGGAACGGUCGGUAAAAUUGAGUUGAUGAUAAUAUAGACGAAAAUCGAAUGAAAUGACGCGAUUCAAUCAGUUGCCACAUCACUCUCUUAAUUUGAUGCAAGUACAUUGCUUUGUAACUAAUUUUUUAUCAAAUUAUUGGAAAAAUCAUGUAUGGUAUUAGUGUUUAAAGCCCAAAUAUUAAAAACCUUAUCAAUUAUUGAAAGUUUGAAACUAGAAUAUUUAAAACUUGAGCUAACCAAUAGGAUUGGCAUUGAUCAUGUUGCUUACUUUGGCCAAUUUGGUGCACAUACAACAUGUCGCAAGAUCUAAGAAAAUAAUCUCAUAUCAUAGCUAAAAAAUAUUUAAAUAGCACGAAGUGCCAUGCACGCUCCCAAAAAUAUCCCUAUUAUUAUUUAUAAUUAUAUAAAGAAGCUACAAUACUAGCUUCUCGGAUCUAUGUCGGGCACUCUCACCCGCUUAGAUUUAAGUUCAUUAAACCUAAAUUUACUUAACACUCUGUUUAAAAUUUAUAAUUAAUCCAAAAUAAAUAUAUAGGAUAAACUUAAGAUCAACAUUACGAAAGGUUUUCGACAAAGAUAAAUAUAUAUUGACUCAAACUAUUAGAGAUGAUCUCGACAUGUGCAACAAUGAAUGCGUAUUCGCAUUAUUCAAGCUCGAGUUAGGAACGCUUCAGUACACCAAACUCACUUUGUUUUAAAAGUCAAUAAUGAAUAAUGGUUUUUUUGUUCACUAAAUGUAUAACCCUCUCCAAUUUUCGUUGUAUAAAUAUGCUACUUAAUUACCAUAUUUAUUAUUUAAUUUAUUUUCUUAUUAUUAUUUACUUUCACUGAAUUUUGAGCCAGUAAUUUUUUUUUUUUUUUUGAUAUGUGGAGCCCAAGCCAUUCUCGGCCUAAAUUAAGUUCGGCCCAUAUGAGCCUUGGAUUGGGCCGAGAUGGACUUGGGUAGUGGGCCUCACUUCGGAGGCAGAUCCGAGGACUAUAUAUACCCGUACCCGACCCGAAGGCGAGGGAUCGGUUUCCUCGCUUCGCCUCUCCCUUCGUCUUUGUCCUCGAUCAUCUUCUUCGGGUGGAGAGGGGGAGAUCGAUUUCGCUUUGAUCCCCGUCUCAAUCUCCUUCCCAAACCCUUCGGCUUCGAUCUAGUUGAGAGGUAAAAGAUCCGAUCUCGGAUUCGAUCUCAUUGUUGCAUUACAAGUUGUUUUUUUUUCCGCAAUUUUGUGUGGUUUUUAGGAGUCCUUUACUUAAUUUGGAGUUUAUUUGCAAAAUUGUUCGUCAUUGAAGUGGUAAAAUCGAAUUUUGCGGUGUUUUGGAUGUUCACAGGAUUGUGUUGGGAGACGAGAAAGCUCGAUUCCACCACAAACAGGGAUUUGAUGCACACAUUUGGAACCCAUUGAAUUCAAAUGGUCAAGCCAAUAGGUUCGAUCUUCGAUCUCGUUCAUUUCUUCAUGUGUUUCUAAUUUUUUAAAUCCAAACACCUCAACAAUCUCAGCUUCAUGUAUAAAUGAUGCAAUGAUCCCUCAAGUCCAAUUCACUUUUUAUUUUUGACUGUAUCCGAUCCGCUACUCUUUUAUUUAACUACUGCUAUGUACAUCUUUUUCCUGCUCAAUACUUGAAGUUUACAUGCCAUGAACUCAGGGAGCACUAUAAUGCUUAAUAGAGUAGCUUCAGAUUCCCGGAUACUACUGGACAGAGAGAAUGGCCAAAUUAAUGGCUUUAAUUCCACAAUUAGGAAAUAAUUAUAGAAUAAUCAGCUCAAUUACCACUUUGCGAAGGAGACAGGUAUAUUGCCGCACACGUCAGGAUUGGACGCACAAAUUCGGAACCUAUUGAAUCAAGACACCAGUCAUUAGGUUUCGACUUAGUAGUGUAUAUGAUUCUCUGCUCUUUAUUCAUUGUGCCAGUUGGGGCUUAUAUUACACUGAUGAACAUGUGGGAUCUCAAAGCCCGUUUGUGCAUGCAUGAUGUUUGUUAUCUGUUUUUUGAGCAGUAGUGGAGAUAUUAGAUUUAAAAGUAUUUAAAAGUCCUCGACAAUGAAUGAUUCAGUUGACUUGCUAGUCAGAUUUGACCUGGUAAUCCUGUUGUUUACAGAUAUUUCAUUGCGCUUUUAUAGAAGCGUCAUGGGAACUUCUGCAAUUAUGGGUUCUUUAUGCUUUCCCAUUUCCCAUAUGCGUAGCAGUUAUAUAUGAUGAUUUAUCAAGUAUAUUUGUACAUGUUCCGCUUACAAGCUAUCUUUGUUCAUGGUGAUACUGUGAUGAUCACUCACCGUUGUACCAGGAAAUCUAAUAAUUGUUAUCUCCUUUCAGCAAUUGGAAUGGGAGAGAAAGAUGUUAAUCGGAUCUCAAAUGUGACUGAUUUUUUAUCCGCUGUGCCCUAUGAUAAGUGGGUUUUAGUUAAUCCUGAUGAUUGGCGCCCGUCAGCUCGCUAUAAGGUACAACAUUACAUGUUUCUCAGCUUUGAAUUGCUAUUUUUGCCUUUUCAUAUUGUGACUGGCUAUCGGCAGUUACUUUUCUCAUCUCUAAUUUAUUUUCUUUUGUCCGUUCGAUAAUUUCGUUCCUUCUGUUUCUUUAUGAAUUUUGUUGCGAUAUGAGGAUGAAUAAUAUAUUCUAUGUUUGUAGCUAACAUUUUCUCAUUUUUGGAUAUGAUAGCAUGCUGCAGAAGUGGUGCAGGACAAGCUCUAUGUGAUUGGGGGAAGUCGAAAUGGCCGUUAUCUGUCGGAUGUUCAGGUCUCACGCGCCCAUUGAAAUCUAAAUUGCAUAUCUCUUGUCACAAAUGAUAAUUGAGUGACAAAUUCCACAGGUUUUUGAUUUUAGGACUUUGAAAUGGUGUGACAAAUUCCACAGGUUUUUGAUUUUAGGACUUUGAAAUGGUCCACUGUAAGCGCAAAUAUGGAUCCAAAACGUUCAAAAUCAGACACUGUUAUCUCGGAUCAAGUUUUCCCAGCAUCAGCAGGCCAUAGCGUGGUAUGAACUUUUUGUCCGAAUUCUCAUCCCGCUCACUACAGUUUGAGGCUAAAUGGAAUUGUGUCAUUUCACAGGUUAAGUGGGAAAAUAAAUUGGUAGUUGUUGCUGGUCAUUGCAAGGAAUCAUCCGAUACUGUAAAAGGUCUGCUCCAAAAAGAUACUUUUCUUAAAAGCAUAACUGGUCUUUUUUGUACUUACGAACUAUGAGCGUGAAUAUUUCUGGUUUCAUAUUAUUUAAAUUAUACUGAAUUUUUGUUCAUUUAGAUUCACUAGUUGACUGUUAACAUGACAUGCUGAUGUGCAUAAAAUAAUACUUAAUUAAGACCCUCUUUUGUGCCACAGAAGUCAUUGUUUUGCUGAUAAUAAUAAACAUUCAAACGAUAUCUUGCCGACAAUAUUGUUUGCUUAUCCAAACUAUUAUGGGUAUCUCCUUUGUGAUAAAAAUUUUCAUGCCCAUUGAAUUUUUAUUACAUGUGGGGGACAAAAACACUUUUUUUUUUUUAACCCCAAAAUACUAGCCCUUAUUUUUUAUUCUAACUACUGGAUGCAGUUUGGUUGAUUGAUCUAGAAACUCACAGCUGGUCUGCUCCAGCUACCAAUGGAGAAGCUCCGGUAAUUUCUAAAGACUCCUUUUUUUGGAUAAUGUCAAGAACUUGAAUUUGACUCUUCUUCAAAGAAUUGAAUCUAUGCAAAAUUUUUCUGUGUCAGAUAGCUAGAGGAGGGCAAUCUAUAUCUCUAGUUGGUUCUCUGUUGUUUAUGUUUGGCGGAGAAGAUAAUAGGAGGCGGCUGUUGAAUGACCUUUAUAUUCUUGACUUGAAUACUAUGACAUGGGAAGCAGUAAGAACCAAGUAAGGAUAUAUUUUUCUUGAACUGUGGAGUAAGGAUAUAUUUUUCUUGAACUGUGGUGGCUGCUUUACACACUUAGAAGUUUUGUUAACUUUUUCUAUUCUUGAAUAGGAAAGCAGCUCCAGCACCUAGGUACGAUCACACAGCUGUAGUUUAUGCGGACCAGUACCUUUUGAUUUUUGGUGGGUCUUCUUAUUCUCCUUGUUUCAAUGAUCUACAUCUACUUGACUUGCAAACUGUAAGUCCCCUUCAUAUUGUUUUUCUUUUAAACCUAUAUCAUAUGGUUAGAUAAAUAUUACUAAACAUUGAUACUGUUAGAACGCAUGCCCCAAGUAAGCGACACAAUUGUGCCAGAUUUCUGCAAACUUAUAUGCCCUGUUUGAUAAUGUAUUUCAAUCCUAGCUUAUUUAUACUGUUAGAAUGCAUGCCUGAACUAAGUGACAAAAUUGUGCCAGAUUUGUGCAAACUUGUAUGCCCUGUUUGAAAAUGUAAAUCGUCCUAGCUUAGCCACCAUAGCACCCACUUUCUUCCCCGGACAUAAUUAUGAAUUCAAUGGAUACAUAAACAUUUUCUUCAUGGAGAUUAAUCGAUGCACAUAUUUAUUUGAAAAAAAAUAUUAGAACUUUACUAUAGAUAGUCUCGCAUUACAGAUGGAGUGGUCUCAACCGGAAACUCAGGGUACAUAUGUAACUCCUAGGGGUGGUCAUGCUAGCACCCUUAUUGAAGAGAACUGGUACAUAGUUGGUGGUGGAGAUAAUAAAAGUGGUAAUUACUUUUGACUCGGAACUUCCAUUAGUAUUAUAGAAGAGAUUAUGUUUUCUUUUUAUUUUUUUGCUGCAAUUUAGUUGUUGCAUUUCUAACGCCUAAAAGUAUGUUUACAGGUGCUACUGAGACAAUUGUCUUGAACACAUCCAAGUUUGUCUGGUCGGUUGCUGCUAGUGUAACCGUACGAGAUCCACUUGCUAGUGAGGUUGGCACUGAUGCCUCUCGAUCAGAUCUAAAAGAUAGUUAUAUAUGUACACUUUUAACUAUAUGCUUCUUUUGAAAGUCAAAUAUAAUGGAGGAUUUAUUUAUUUGAAUUUUGAAAUAUCCAAGGGUUAGAAAGUAUUGGGGUAGUCUUAUGCAGCCUUAACUGAUUUAAUAACUAUAGAACUUGUAUCUUCAGAAACAUGAGAACAAAAAAAAAUACUAUUUUCAAUUUUCUUUUUAUAGUAAGAAUAUUCUAUGUAGAUUAUAAUUUCAGCCAUGCUGUUUCCUUAUUUUACUAAGGUUUACAUGACUACUGUUAAUGCAACAUGUUAGAUUGGUUCUAAUAUAUUCAAGCAUAUUACUGGCUUAUGAUGACUUCACAGGGUCUUACUCUUUCCGCGAUGACAGUGGAUGGUGAAAAUUUUAUCAUUGCCUUUGGUGGUUACAACGGCAAGUAUAACAAUGAGGUAUGAAUUAGAGAUCUUAUAUUCAUGGUGGACAUAGCAAAACCAAAAUCAUUAAAACAGUGGAAGCGUAUUGGCUUUUGCAAAAGAAAAAUCUUUUGAGAAUGAUGUGUUGUUUUGUUCUUUGGUUGUCUCAAGUGUAUCAACAUUUCUGAUCUUUCACAUGUUGCUAAUUAAAUUAUACAUCUAUUCUUACCAUUUCUUUUUAUCUCGUUGUUUAUUGGACUUGUACUCUGCUUGAGUGCAUGUGUAAUGUGUGGUUUAUAAAAUUAGUUGUGACUUUUGAGAACAAUAAAAGUUUGUGAC